rnacentral:lncRNA from 1 species
GUACUCUAGUGGCAAAACUGCUGGCUAGUGUACCUGUUCUGCCAAAAGUAAAAUGGGCUUACUGAGGAAAUUAAAUUUAUGUUCAAGUGCUAUUUCUUUAUGCACCGGGGAACAAGCAUUUCUAACAACCUGGUCCUACGUGGCUGAAACUGGAUCCCAGAAGCCCCGUCCUUCCCGAAGCUCGUAGCGGAAGUGACAUCAGCCCGCCGCCACUAUCUUUUCCCGCGCUGGCUGCCCACGGUCAGUGCUGUUUCACCUUUAUCUUGGUGGAGUCGACCCCGGCUGUGGACUUCAAAUAACCCUGUACAAAGAGGAAUGGAGAUUGCCUCUAUUCACCUAGAUUCAUAAGUUGCCCUGAGGCAAUCUUGGCAUCAAGGAAGAGAGCAUUGAGGCACAACUGACCAUCAGCUUCAGAGAAUGGCAGUCACUGAUUUGUCCCAUGACAAGAAGCUACAGUGGAUGGAAACUCUGAGAAUUGUGGAGAGGUCUUCAGUGAAUGGUUUUGCCUUAAAACACACAUGAGAGCUCAGAAUGGAGGGAACAUCUUUGAGGGUAAUUGUUAUGGAAAAGACAUCCUCAGUGUGCACAAGGAAGCCUCUAUUGGACAGGAACUUUCCAAAUUUAAUCCAUGUGGAAAAGUCUUCACCUUAACUCCAGAUCUUGCUGCACAUCUUGGAAUUCUCAAUGCAAGACAACCAUACAAAUGUAAGGAAUGUAGAAAAGGCUUUAAGUAUUUUGCAAGCCUUGAUAAUCACAUGGGAAUCCACAUUGGAGAGAAAUUCUGUGAAUUUCAGGAAUGUAGGAGAGCCAUCACUCAUUCCUCACACCUAAAGCAGUGUGUAACAGUUCAUACUGGAAAGAAAUCUAAAAAGACUAAGAAACAUGGGAAAUCCUUCACUAAUUUUUCUCAACUUUCUGCACAUGUGAAAAUUCAUAAAGGAGAGAAGUCCUUUGAAUGUAAAGAAUGUGGAAGAUCCUUUAGAAAUUCCUCAUCCUUUAAUGUUCACAUUCAAAUUCACACUGGAAUAAAACCACACAAAUAUACGGAAUGUGGGAAAGCCUUCACUAGGUCAACUCACCUUACUCAACAUGUAAGAACUCACACUGGAAUAAAACCCUAUGAAUGUAAGGAAUGUGGCCAAGCCUUCACUCAGUACACGGGCCUUGCUAUACACAUACGAAAUCACACUGGAGAGAAACACUAUCAGUGUAAGGAAUGUGGGAAAGCCUUCAAUGGAUCCUCAACCCUUACUCAACAUAAAAUAAUUCACACAGGAGAGAAGCCUUAUGGAUGUGUUGAAUGUGGGAAGACCUUCAUUACUUCUUCCUAUCGUAGUAAACAUUUGAAAACUCACCAUGAAGAAAGGCCCUUUGUAUGCAAGAUAUGUGGGAAAGCAUUUCUAUAUUCCUCACCCCUUAAUGUUCACCUGCAAACUCAUACCAGAGAGAAAGCCCUCAUAUGUAAAGAAUGUGGGAAAGCUUUUGCUGUUUCCUCACACCUAAGUAGACAUGAAAGAAUUCACACUGGGGAGGAACCCUAUGAAUAUAAGGGUAUGAAUGUUACCAUUUAGCUCAUUGGUUGCCAUCUUUAAUUAGUGGCAGUGACACUAAAGAUAUUCAGAUUUGUCCUAAA